rnacentral:rRNA from 1 species
GCGGUGAAAUUUCCGGGCUCAACCCGGAGUGUGCCGUUGAAACUGGCGAGCUAGAGUGCACAAGAGGCAGGCGGAAUGCGUGGUGUAGCGGUGAAAUGCAUAGAUAUCACGCAGAACCCCGAUUGCGAAGGCAGCCUGCUAGGGUGCGACAGACGCUGAGGCACGAAAGCGUGGGUAUCGAACAGGAUUAGAUACCCUGGUAGUCCACGCAGUAAACGAUGAAUACUAACUGUUUGCGAUACAAUGUAAGCGGUACAGCGAAAGCGUUAAGUAUUCCACCUGGGGAGUACGCCGGCAACGGUGAAACUCAAAGGAAUUGACGGGGGCCCGCACAAGCGGAGGAACAUGUGGUUUAAUUCGAUGAUACGCGAGGAACCUUACCCGGGCUCAAACGCAGGGGGAAUAUAUAUGAAAGUAUAUAGCUAGUAAUAGUCACCUGCGAGGUGCUGCAUGGUUGUCGUCAGCUCGUGCCGUGAGGUGUCGGCUUAAGUGCCAUAACGAGCGCAACCCCUAUCGACAGUUACUAACGGGUGAAGCCGAGGACUCUGUCGAGACUGCCGGCGCAAGCCGCGAGGAAGGUGGGGAUGACGUCAAAUCAGCACGGCCCUUACGUCCGGGGCGACACACGUGUUACAAUGGCAGGUACAGAAGGCAGCCAGUCAGCAAUGACGCGCGAAUCCCGAAAACCUGUCUCAGUUCGGAUUGGAGUCUGCAACCCGACUCCAUGAAGCUGGAUUCGCUAGUAAUCGCGCAUCAGCCAUGGCGCGGUGAAUACGUUCCCGGGCCUUGUACACACCGCCCGUCAAGCCAUGGAAGCCGGGAGUAAAAGAAGCAUGCAACCGCAAGGAGCGUACGAAGGUAAUCCC